UCCUCGAUAGUCUAGUGGUGAGGAUAUCGGCUUGUCAUUACGGCAAAGCGCCGGGGACCGGGGUUCAAUUCCCCGUCGAGGAG
rnacentral:tRNA from 2 species